ensembl:lncRNA
UUUUUUUUUCUGGAUAGAGAUUGUUCUCCCCUUGAGCUGUUGCUGGAAGGGGUCAUUGGAAGGGGAAAACAACAACCCUGAUGGAAACUAAUGACUGUAUCUUUUCCAUUUCCCAUGAAAGUAAGAAAUGGCUGCUGUCCAGUCAACUUUGGGAGGAAAACUGCAACGUUUUGAAGAAGAAAAAUAAAAGGUAUAUCCUUACGUUUCUUUUGCAGUGAUGGAGGAUCUCUUACUACUGUAAGACUAUCAUCAAGUUGACUAUUCAUGUUGUGAUGAAUUUAUGCAAAAUAUGAGAUUUCAGUUCUGUUUCCAGUAUGUUUGGAAAUGCAGCCCUAAUCUAUAAUGGUGUAUAUCAGCAAAACCUACCCCACCAAAUGCUAUUCUGAAGCAGCCUCUCCUGGCUCCACUGUUACUCAAGAUACAUCUAGAUUCCACCACUGCCUUUUUCAACCUGUGAUUUGUUAAGAUAAAGGAAACUUCAAGCAGUUGUGUGUCUGCUGCUUGGGAG